rnacentral:rRNA from 1 species
UCGAGGGGCAGCAUGGUCUUAGCUUGCUAAGGCUGAUGGCGACCGGCGCACGGGUGAGUAACACGUAUCCAACCUGCCGUCUACUCUUGGCCAGCCUUCUGAAAGGAAGAUUAAUCCAGGAUGGGAUCAUGAGUUCACAUGUCCGCAUGAUUAAAGGUAUUUUCCGGUAGACGAUGGGGAUGCGUUCCAUUAGAUAGUAGGCGGGGUAACGGCCCACCUAGUCAACGAUGGAUAGGGGUUCUGAGAGGAAGGUCCCCCACAUUGGAACUGAGACACGGUCCAAACUCCUACGGGAGGCAGCAGUGAGGAAUAUUGGUCAAUGGGCGAUGGCCUGAACCAGCCAAGUAGCGUGAAGGAUGACUGCCCUAUGGGUUGUAAACUUCUUUUAUAAAGGAAUAAAGUCGGGUAUGCAUACCCGUUUGCAUGUACUUUAUGAAUAAGGAUCGGCUAACUCCGUGCCAGCAGCCGCGGUAAUACGGAGGAUCCGAGCGUUAUCCGGAUUUAUUGGGUUUAAAGGGAGCGUAGAUGGAUGUUUAAGUCAGUUGUGAAAGUUUGCGGCUCAACCGUAAAAUUGCAGUUGAUACUGGAUGUCUUGAGUGCAGUUGAGGCAGGCGGAAUUCGUGGUGUAGCGGUGAAAUGCUUAG